rnacentral:lncRNA from 1 species
AGGCUGCAGCGCAACGAGCGGAGAGGAGGUAAUUGGCAGCAAUUGGCGGCCCCAGUCCGCUGACCUGUUAAUCUGCUGCCACCAGCGCUCAGCCAGGAAAGGAGGGGAAAGAAAUAAAAGGUGGCUCUGAGCCUGCCGUGCUGUGAGGAGCUCAGGAUAGGAGCCACGACCGCCCCCAGACCGACCUUGUUCUACCGAAAGUGGAAUUCAGGAUGACUGAAAUGAAUGUAACUCCAAAAAAAAAAAAAAAAAAAAAAGAAAACCCAAAAAACUCAAACAACCAAAUGUGUACAUAUCAUCGUGCAAAAAUGGUCAUUUCAUCACUCACUGAUGAUCAGCUCUGAUUUAUUUGAACAGACUCUUAGCGUCUGCCUUUCCUUCUCACCCAGGAGUUGAGUUCAGCAGGAGUUUUUCUUGGGCAAGGUCUUCAGGCUCUGACCCAGACAUAUCCAUCUGCAACAACAACAAUUGGAAAGGGCUGUGUACACUGUAAUAGCAGAGUGGAUCAGAAAUACAGUGGAAGACUUUAAGUUUCCAUUCCAUCACAGUCUCCUGUGCUUUGACAUUUAGAAAUUUUUAUGCACAGUGUUAGAAACGUCCCAUGGAGGGGUGGGAAAACUCAGCACUGCAGCCUAAACUCAUCUAAAUGUCCCAUGAUGGCAUCUGAACACGUCCUUGGAAGAAUGUGUUGGUGUCAUUUGCAUGUCGUUCCGACUUCGUUCACAUGAAUAAUGGAAUAACCACAGUGGUGCAGCCAGAACAAAUGUCAUACUGAAUCCAUCAGGCAGGCAGCAACGUCAACACCACUGGGUAUUCACUGUGUUAAAACAGGGCUAGGACGCUUGGACCAGUGAGAAAGCCACCUGGUUGGGAUGUACCUCUCAGCAAUCCCCCUGCUUACCAGCCGUUUUUCCUAAUGGCAUUUCUUUCAGGUUGCUGCCUCUUCCAGUUCUUCUCAAUGUGCAACAUCACAGCUGUAUGGCUGCGAAACAGCAUGGAAAGGGACAAAUCCUCAGGAAUUUUGGAUCUGCAACCUUCAAUCAGCAUCAGGGGAGCUGUCCAGGCUCGGAAGACAUCCAUCAAGUUCUUACUCCAAAGAAAUCCUCUGUCAUCUGCCUCAUCCCGUACCCUCUGAAGCCAGUGGGAGUCCUACCAGAUAAUUCAAUAGAAAUUGGCCCAGGACUCACCUAAAACACACCUGUUCCUUACUACAUAGAGUGAUAAGCUGCUAGGUUUGUUUUUUAAUUGGACACUUAAUACCAGCUUUGGCAGGUGAUUAAACUGUGAUUUACUUCCAAGGGAGAUAAGAAGUAAAUUUCAAAGGAGUUCUGGAUAGGUGGUUUAACAGCACAGUGAUUACACACGGACAUUUUGGAAGAACGGGGCAAGGUAAGGAAGAACCAGGCAUGGGAGUUAUUUUUGUUCCUACACUCGGAAGACUACAUGAGAUUAGAAAAAGACAACAAAUCAGAGAAACGUUUAAGUAGUUAGAAAGUAAGGGAUUCUGAUUGGACAUCAAAAUUGCAUAACAAAUGUUUAAUCAGGAGCCAACGAGGAAUGUGUUUCCUCUCCAGCUGAAGUGGAAGUGGCCAGUGCUAUCAGAACGUCUAUGUAUACAAAUCAAACAGUAAAGCUUAGCUGUCUCCCUUGGGUAAAAUAAAGAGGCAUGAAGUAGGGACUCGUCAGUCAUCAAAGCCCUUAUUAAUAGCAACUGCAGCUUAAGGAGCGUGGCUUCUUGUUGUUGCAAGCAGGAAGUUACAGCACUCCAAUGAGAAAGCAAACAUUUCAUUUCGUGCAAAGCAAGCAUUACAUGACAGAAUGAAGGAAAAAGAAAGUUUGGGGAAAACAGAUUAAACUAGAAGACUGCACAUGGGAUAUUAGUAAAGCUGGUUUUUUUUUUGCAUUCUGCAUGAUAAGAAUAUAUUAUCAAGCACAGUAUUAAAAUAGUCUGACUGGUAAAGGGGCAGAUCUGAAAUGAGGAAUUAGCAAUGCUUCACACCUGUCAAUAGAUGGACUUCAUCUGCCACACUCACCUGGUUUCUCUGCAAAUUUUUGAUAUUUUGCAAGGACUAAUUUCAACUGUAUGCUUUUGUUCAGCUGGUUGAGAUUACUGUAGACUUCCUUGUGAAGACGUUAACUGUAGUCCUCUAUGUAGAAGGCAUUGUAAGUAAUGAAGAUAAAUCAAUGACAGGGCCCAGAAUAGUCUAUCCUCUGUACCCAGACAUGAACUAUUGGAACUGUUUUGGGCAUAGAACAAAGUGCCUGAAUGUGGCUACUGUUUUGGGCUAGGCUAUCUCUACUGAAGCUUUCUUUUUCUCUACUUCGCUUGUGUUUCCGCAUAUCCAACAUGAAUAUUGUUCUAUUGUAAAUGAGAUGUAGGACAGAAAUAACAGAACAGCAGUAACAGAAGCGACAGAUAUUUCCAUAUGAAGAUAUGGUUGUUUUGGGAUGAAACUGCAAAAUGGAAGAGCGAUUUGAUAUGAAUUAGAAUAUGAUCUGAUGCCAAAGUAAAAGCAGCCUCAGACACUAUUAAAGAGGUUUUGCACUUGGCUCCUGGCAGCACUAAUUUAAUCAUUUUCAUCUGAGUAAUAAAUACAUUUUUUAGUUUUUUUGUUUUUUUUUUUUUUCCCUGAGAAUACUGAAAAGAGCAACACUCUGCAUGGUGUGUGUAAGUAGGUCAAAAACUGCAGUAAUUACAGAAUAAUGGCUUGGAAAGGCAGUAUUUCAGGACAAGGUGUUUCAAGGCAACAACUUCAGUAGUAAGAAUGACAAUGGUAUUUAUUGCAGGAAAUCCCUUGCAAGAAAAAUAUCUGCCUAUUACAGAUGGCAAUAAAGUAAAAAUUUUGCCUCAGGCAUAUUUCUUCCUAAGGCAGAUCAGUAAAUAUCUGAGUUGCAGAAACAUUAAAAUACCUGUAACUAGUAAGAAUUUACAGUUCUACAAAAACGUUGUCAACAAUAUGUAGAGGUGCUUUAGAGAUAAGUAGGUAUUUACCUAAGAUUUAUGGAUUAUGGCAUUUCGUGACACUGUAAAAUGUGGGGAAUCUGAGCGCACAAUUAUUUAACUGGUCAGCCAAAGGCUCUCCUCAGACUAUUAGGUGGUGCCAUACAUCACUGCUGGGCUUAUUUCCUUGAAAGGUCCUGGAAAAGGUGUUGUAUAUCACAAACAGCCCAUGACCUCAGAAGCCAGACUGCGAGCGCCUUUUCCUCCAUUAGCAGUCAAAGUUAAUGCCCUUUGUGCGUGUGUUUUCUUUUCCCGAAAUAAAUUAAUUAGCUUUGAGAUCCUUUUUUCCAGAUUGAAGCCAUGACCUCCGCAUUAUGAUGGUGUUGGUAAUCGACUUUAUUUUGAGUCUGAUGAUUCAUCAUGCACUCAUUAUAUGUGAUUUUCUUGUGCGCUCGUAUAAUUCAUUAGAAGGAAGUGGAGUUAUGUGCACCUACUUAAAAUGGGUUGAAGGAGAAAUCAGCCACAACAAUUUACUGCUUUCGUACAGCAUGCUUCUAGUGUUUGCUGACUUUGAUGAAGUCAGGAUUCUUCCCCCACAUUUCACAGCUAUUUAGCAUACAGAGGGCCUUGGGUAUUGUGGAGGUUGUGUUAGCUGCCUUUAGGUAUUGUGUUGCCCCAAAGGCACGUUAAACUCUGUGCUCCGAGACCAAAAUACAUUGAUUAAGUACAGGAAGGUAAUUAAGACCUGUAGCUUUGGAAGUGAUCUAUCCAUUCAUAAAUGACGCCUUGUUUCCUGUUCCCUCCUUUCCCUUUCACCUUCCCAAAGGAGGAAUGACACUCCAUGGCCUAGGUCUGUACGUUACUGUGCAUAACUCAAGUGCAAAAUGGGACACUGAUCUCCUGGAGGAACCACAGAAAGGAUGAAACCAAAGUUGUCCUGGGAGCCAGAGCCCUACCCUGGUGGGAUGGGGUCAGGGAUCCAAAGGGAAUUUGAGAAGAAGCUACUGGAGAGACCAAUCUGCAUGGAGAUGUCAAGGUGGUGUCUCUCUUUUUCAUGGAAAGGGACAUCAGGAGCUAAAGGAAAGAUCUUAUUGCUGGAAACUGUCUGAAAAAUGAAACAGCAGAGAAACCAAUCGACACAGAGGAAUUGCAGCAGCCAACGAGAAUGGAGGGAUUUGCAUAUCCAGACAGAAGCUGCUGGGAAAGAGCUGCAAAGGGAUUAUGUAAAUCCCUGAUUGGGUGAACGUGGCUGAUUGCCAGAGUAGGGGAUGCACACACUGCACCGUACCUGGGUAACGAUUAUGCAAAUUGCACACCCCCAGCCAGAGAGCAGGGCAGUUGGCUAGAUGAGGGAAAUUGCAGUUCCGCAUCAGUAAAUGCCCAGCGCUCCUCAAUCACACCUCACUGCAGGACGGAGUCAGCACAGGCAGGAACCUCUGACAGCCCCACCGCAUCCAUCAGAUGCUUGGGCGCCCUGUCGAGCAAAUGGGUCUUUGGAUUGCCAUUUGCAUUUACAGAGACUCUAGCAUCAAAGGGAUAAGAAAAUGGAAGCUCAAAUGAGGACUUCUCCAUGUUGCCUGCAGUUGUGUGAUCCUGGUGCAAAUCUAUUCUUGGUCAAAGAAAGAAUGCAAUUGCCAAACAGAUGAGCUCCAGCCUUAACUUACAGGGGAGAGAUCUGUAGAGACUGGUGGUACAAUCAAUACAUCUGAUUUUUAGUACUUACAUAUAAUAACAUCUAUUCUGUGAUUUUUGGAAAAGCAAUGACAUAUAGAUUAAUAAUAAGAAGACGACAUUGUGCAGACAUAAUUACAAUCUUAAU